rnacentral:rRNA from 1 species
CCUACGGGUGGCAGCAGUGGGGGAUAUUGGACAAUGGGGGGAACCCUGAUCCAGCGAAGCCGCGUGAGUGAAGAAGUAUCUCGGUAUGUAAAGCUCUAUCAGCAGGGAAGCAGAAAUGACGGUACCUGAGUAAGAAGCCCCGGCUAACUACGUGCCAGCAGCUGCGGUAAUACGUAGGGGGCAAGCGUUAUCCGGAAUUACUGGGUGUAAAGGGAGCGUAGGCGGUGAUGUAAGUCUGGAGUGAAAGGCGGGGGCCCAACCCCCGGACUGCUCUGGAAACUAUGUGACUGGAGUGCAGGAGAGGUGAGCGGAAGUCGUGGUGUAGCGGUGAAAUGCUUAGAUAUCACGAAGAACCCCGAUUGCGAAGGCAGCCUGCCGCAGCGUUACUGACGCUGAAGCUCGAAAGCGCGGGUAUCGAACAGGAUUAGAUACCCCAGUAGUC